UACGUAGGGUGCAAGCGUUAAUCAGAAUUACCGGGCGUAAAGCGUGCGCAGGCGGUUUUGUAAGUCAGAUGUGAAAUCCCUGGGCUCAACCCAGGAACUGCGUCCGAUACUGGAAGGCUUGAAUCCGGGAGAGGGAUGCGGAAUUCCAGGUGUAGCGGUGAAAUGCGUAGAUAUCUGGAGGAACACCGGUGGCGAAGGCGGCAUCCUGGACCGGCAUUGACGCUGAUGAGCGAAAGCUAGGGGAGCAAACGGG
rnacentral:rRNA from 1 species